GGGAAAUCUGUAAGAUCAAACCCCAGAAAUUUUCCUUCUUCCAACUUCAAAUAAUGUCGGGCGUUACCAAUCAAGAAGAGGACAAGAAGCCCACCGAUCAGUCGGCUCAUAUCAACCUCAAAGUCAAGGGCCAGGAUGGAAAUGAAGUUUUCUUCCGGAUCAAAAGGAGUACCCAACUGAAGAAGCUAAUGAAUGCUUACUGUGACAGGCAGUCGGUUGAUUUGAACUCCAUUGCAUUCUUGUUUGACGGCCGCCGACUGCGUGCAGAGCAGACUCCGGAAGAGCUGGAAAUGGAGGAUGGAGAUGAGAUUGAUGCAAUGCUUCACCAAACUGGAGGUGGAGGUUCUAUUAUCUAAGUUAAAUCUCAAAGACAAAAUAGUUCCUAAACAUCAUUUGGAAUUCUAUAAUUUUCUUACUACUGCUAGUAUAUGCUGAACUUCUGCUGCUGGAUGUUGCUUUUGUCUAUAAAUUAUGAUAACGAUU
rnacentral:misc_RNA from 1 species